GUCAGUGAUGAUAUUGGUAUGAAAAGUUUGCUUUCAAGCCUCGAAGAUUCAUUUUUAGGCUGGAAUAUCUGGUGGUGAAAUCUCCCGUCUGAUAGAUAAGAUGAAGCCGGCUAUUUUAAUCACCGUUCUUAUCUUGGUUGCAAUAGCAGCUAUAUCAGCAAUCCCCACUCCAGGCCGGCGGUUGAAUGAUGAGCGGCGUCCCAUGCACGAGUUUAGCAAGGAGAACUUCAGAAACAAACUCAUGGAUUACAUUAUGAAUCACGAGAAGAGAUGCAAGUAUGAUUAUUGCAGCCCUGGUGAUAGAUGCUGUGGUGGAAGAUG